UAGCCAGACUCCUACGGGAGGCAGCAGUCGAGAAUCAUUCACAAUGGGGGGAACCCUGAUGCAGCGACGCCGCGUGGGUGAAGGAGUGCUUCGGCAUGUAAACCCCUAUCGGCAGGGAAGAAGCAGGACGGUACCCGACUAAGAAGCCCCGGCUAACUACGUGCCAGCAGCCGCGGUAAUACGUAGGGGGCAAGCGUUAUCCGGAUUUACUGGGUGUAAAGGGAGCGCAGACGGCAGUGCAAGUCUGGAGUGAAAGCCCGGGGCCCAACCCCGGGACUGCUUUGGAAACUGUGUAACUGGAGUACAGGAGGGGCAGGCGGAAUUCCUGGUGUAGCGGUGAAAUGCGUAGAUAUCAGGAGGAACACCGGCGGCGAAGGCGGCCUGCUGGACUGAAACUGACGUUGAGGCUCGAAAGCGUGGGGAGCAAACAGGAUUAGAUACCCGAGUAC
rnacentral:rRNA from 1 species